UACAGAGACCCCGAGCGUUAUCCGGAUUUAUUGGGCGUAAAGCGUCUGUAGGCGUCCUGCUAAGUCCCCGGUUAAAGCCCACCGCUCAACGGUGGAACAGCCUGGGAUACUGGUAGGAUUGAGGUUGGGAGAGGCAAGCGGAAUUACCGGUGUAGUAGUAAAAUGCGUUAAUAUCGGUAAGAACACCAAAGGCGAAGGCAGCUUGCUGGAACACACCUGACGCUGAGAGACGAAAGCGUGGGGAG
rnacentral:rRNA from 1 species